GCCUUCGUGGCGCACGGUGCGCACCUCACAUUCAUACAUCAACAACAGUGCACGGUUUAUGAGGCUUGGGGUUCGACUCCCCACGAAGGCU